rnacentral:lncRNA from 1 species
ACAGGGGUCCUGGGUGUAGACAGAGGCCUCCCCAGCCCAGGCCCUUGGCGCGCUGUGUGCGGAGGUGGGCGACCCUCUGUCCACCCUCGGGGAGAGGGUCUGCUUCCUGCGCCUCGGCCUCCCAAAGUGCUGGGAUUACAGGCGUGAGCCACUGUGCCCAGCCUGUCCUCUCACACUUGAAUUCCUUCCUGCACGAUACUAAGAACCCAUGUGACCUCCCGGGAUGAGCCCCGAUUUGGGGGUUCACCCGUGAUAAAGUAAGCUGGUGAACAGCAGGGAAGCACUCUGUGUCUGUAGCUUCCUGUGAGUAUGCAAUCAUUUCAAAAUUAAAAGUUUGUUAAAGCUAUAAAAAUUAUAAAAGAAAUUAAUAAAAAUCAUUGUCUCAAUCUUCACAACAAUCAUGAAGCUUGAAAAUGAAUUAUUGUUUUGUUUACGCAGAAGAGGAACAUGAGAUACAGAUGGGCUGAGUAAGCCCCCACAACGGCAGCAGGGGAGUGAAAUGGAACCAGGGUCUCCAGCCCAGCCGAAAGUCUGCUCAGUAAUAAGGAGGUAACAGGGACAGGGACAGGGACGGAGUAGCUGGGAGCAGUGCGCCUCCUCGACUGGAUUCCAGAAGAAAGGCUCUACAAAGGACGUGACCGCCCUGCCUGGGCGCGCGGAGAUGCUGACGCAUGCACAACGGCAACGCCCCCACGUGUGGUGGCUGCAGGGCUGCUGGUGGAGAAUUCCCUGCCCAGGGGAGCCCUGUGCCGGGAGGCACCGUGUCCUCCGUCCAGGCUCGCUCUCAGAUGGCCUAGCCCAGCGAGGGG